rnacentral:rRNA from 1 species
GAUCCAGAUUUUUCUUGAAGAUUAAGCCAUGUAAGUGCCAAGUACAAACGAUUUUAUCGUGAGACUGCGGACGGCUCAGUAUAUCAGUGAUUAUCUGUUUGAUUGUUGAACCCAUUGGAUAACCGUGGGAAAUCUAGAGCUAAUACAUGUAGUUAUUGGAGUGAACCGUUAAACGUCCACGCCAGAGCAUUUAUUAGACUUGACCAACUACCGUAGAGUAACGCCCUAUGGUAAGGUGAAUCUAGAUAACUUUGCUGAUCGUAUGGCCUAGAGCCGGCGACGUUUCAAUUGAAUUUCUGCCCUAUCAACUGGUUGGUAAGGUAUUGGCUUACCAAGGUUGCAACGGGUAACGGGGAAUCAGGGUUCGAUUCCGGAGAGGGAGCCUGAGAAACGGCUACCACAUCCAAGGAAGGCAACAGGCGCGAAAAUUACCCAAUCUAGACAGUAGGAGGUGGUGAAGAGAAUUACUAAGUGAUGGCUAUGCUAUCAGCUUGGAAUGAACGUAAUUUAAGGAAUUCGAUGAGUAACAACUGGAGGGCAAGUCCUGGUGCCAGCAGCCGCGGUAAUUCCAGCUCCAGUAAUCUGGGUUAAAGUUGUUGCGUUUAAAACGCUCGUAGUUGGAUAACGCAGUCAUAAGAGGUAAUCUGUAAGAAUACGUGCGGUCAUGGACAGUUUUGAGGCGAAAGCCGAGAGGCUAGUUUUUGGCUUGUGUUUUUGCAGAUAAUAACGCCUAUCUUGUGACUAUUUGCGCGUGAGUGUGGUAAUUGACCUUUAAUGUGUUGAGUAUCAUGUCUCACGGGGUGUGCCUUGAAUAAAUCAGAGUGCUUAAAACAAGCGAAUGCUUGAAUGUGAUAGCAUGGAACGAACAAACGUGUAUUAGCGCACGUAAAAUUGCGAUGACGGGUUUAUGACUUGUUGUUGUAAUUAGCGUGUGCAGCACCUACCAAAAUACGGAUGUUGGUUUCUGUAUACGGUGACGAUUAAAAGGAGCGGUUGGGGGCAUCGGUAUUUGGCCGCGAGAGGUGAAAUUCUUAGACCGGCCAAGGACUAACAAAUGCGAAGGCACUUGUCUAGACCGUUUCCAUUAAUCAAGAACGAAAGUGGGAGGUUCGAAGACGAUCAGAUACCGUCCUAGUUCCCACUGUAAACUAUGCCGACCUGGGAUCAGUUUGGAGAUGUUACAAGCUCUAGGUUGGUCCCCCUGGGAAACCUGAAGUUUUUCGGUUACGGGGAGAGUAUGGUCGCAAGUCUGAAACUUAAAGGAAUUGACGGAAGGGCACCACCAGGGGUGGAGCCUGCGGCUUAAUUUGACUCAACACGGGGAAACUCACCUGGUCCAGACGUUGAUAGGAUAGACAGACUGAUAGAUCUUUCUUGAUGCAAUGAGUGGUGGUGCAUGGCCGUUCUUAGUUCGUGGAGUGAUCUGUCAGGUUAAUUCCGGUAACGAACGAGACCACAGUCUCCAUUUAAGGUACGGAAGUAGGGUGUUUGGCGCAUGCGCAUCUCGGUGCGGGUGUUGGCUCGACACUUUUUGGCAAGGUUGACGAAUUUGAGGUAGUUUUGCACAAAUGUUUCAGCAAUGGGGCAGUUGUGCAUUGCUGCAUCGGAGGAGUUGAUUCUCCCUUCCGUUGAGCAGUAUUCGGUGCAAACUGAAUGCUGUCUUAUGGAGAGACAACGAGACAUUCAAAAAGCUCGCGGAAGAGUGGCUAUAACAGGAUCUGGGUUGAGAGACUUGGGUAAUCUAAAAUCGUUAUCGUGAUGGGGAUUGACCGUUGUAAUCAUCGGUCAUGAAAGAGGAAUCCCUAGUAUGUACAUUUUAUUAGAAUGUACAGAUUGAGUCCCUGCCCUUUGUACACACCGCCCGUCGCUACUACCGAGUGAAUGGUAUCAUGAUGCCUUGGGACUGGACGUUGGACGAACUUGUUUGUUUAACGCCGGGAUCAGCGUAAAAUGGUGCAAUUUCGAGGAAGUAAAAGUCGUAACAAGGUUUCCGUAG